rnacentral:misc_RNA from 1 species
UUUCCGUAGGUGAACCUGCGGAAGGAUCAUUAAUGAGUCGUCAUGGGGUUCGAUGCUGGCAGCCAAUUUUUGGAUGCAUGUGCUUGCCCUAACAAUCAUCUUCCAAACACCUGUGCACAUUUUUGAGGGAGUCUUGAGUUGGUUGCCGCUCUUGGGUGAUUUUCUCACAUUCCCUUAAAUCAUUAUACGCUAUUAACAAUGUUGAACGUGCUCUGUGCCGCAAGGCUAUUAAUAUAAUACAACUUUUAACAACGGAUCUCUUGGCUCUC